rnacentral:rRNA from 1 species
GUACGGGAGGCAGCAGUGAGGAAUAUUGGUCAAUGGGCGCAAGCCUGAACCAGCCAUGCCGCGUGAAGGAUGAAGGCGCUAUGCGUUGUAAACUUCUUUUGUACGGGACGAAACUAUGUUACGUGUAAUGUACUGACGGUACCGUACGAAUAAGCAACGGCUAACUCCGUGCCAGCAGCCGCGGUAAUACGGAGGUUGCAAGCGUUAUCCGGAUUUAUUGGGUUUAAAGGGUGCGUAGGCGGAAUGGUAAGUCAGUGGUGAAAGCCUGUAGCUUAACUAUAGAAUUGCCAUUGAUACUGUCAUUCUUGAGUGUAGUUGAGGUAGGCGGAAUGUGUAAUGUAGCGGUGAAAUGCUUAGAUAUUACACAGAACUCCAAUUGCGUAGGCAGCUUACUAAACUAUAACUGACGCUGAGGCACGAAAGCGUGGGGAGCAAACAGGAUUAGAUACCCCGGUAGU